GUAGCCUCAGGGAGCUGAUUUCUUAUGGAAGAGUUUGAGCUCAGUCAUUCUAGACCAGUAUAACUCACGCAGGAGGAAACCCUUAGGCCCGAGCUCAAGGGGGAACCAGGCCUCUUCACUGUUCCUUCCUUGGCCACCCUAGAGGCUCACAGCAGUGUCUCUUGGUCAGAUCUGAAAGAGAGCUCUUGUCGCGUCUGUUACAGAUAUUUAAGCCAUUACCCCAGAGCGACUCUACCCUACUGGAAGGAAGCUGGCCUCCUCCUAUAGAUGCUGGGCGGCGCUCCGGAGCUCGCAACUUAGGAAGGAAGCUGCUAUCUUCCAUCUCGGACACCAGGUGGCACCAAAUCACAAGCAUAACGCCAAAGAAAACUGGCAGGAAAUGGACCUUGAGAGUCCUUGAACUAUUUUUCUCCCUCCCUAUUCCCCACAUGGAAUUGAAAAAUAAGAAACCUUUCAGAUAUGGUGGAUAAUUCUAAUUCAGUAAAAACACUUUAAUCUUCCAGCGGAAGGUUCCUAGGAUUUAAAUGCAGCCUUAGUCCCCACCCUUCCCGGAGACCUAGUUCUCAGCAGCAGAUAAGGAAAAUGGUGACUUUCCUGGAAUCAUUUCAGAUGCCUCCACCCUCCAGAAGAGUUGUUUUUCUCCCAGGUGGUAAGCUGAGAAGUAGCAGACACCAGACUUCAGAGGCUCUACUCAAAUCCUGGGCCCCCUUCUGAAGGGCCAAGUGCUCUGUCAUGUGUGUGCUAGGAAAUGACCAUGUCUAAACAAGUUGUAAUGUGGCCAACCAGCCUCAUGGCCUCUUGCAUCCAAACAGGACCACUUCCAGCCCCCACAAAUACACUCCAUAAGUCCCCAUUCCCAGGUUCCUCCACCUGGAAUGC
ensembl:lncRNA